AGUAGCGCGUGGGUAACCUGCCUUAUACAGGGGGAUAACAGUUGGAAACGGCUGCUAAUACCGCAUAAGCGCACGGCAUCGCAUGAUGCAGUGUGAAAAACUCCGGUGGUAUAAGAUGGACCCGCGUUGGAUUAGCUAGUUGGUGAGGUAACGGCCCACCAAGGCGACGAUCCAUAGCCGACCUGAGAGGGUGACCGGCCACAUUGGGACUGAGACACGGCCCAA
rnacentral:rRNA from 1 species